rnacentral:rRNA from 1 species
UAGUCAUAUGCUUGUCUCAAAGAUUAAGCCAUGCAUGUCUAAGUAUAAGCAACUUGUACUGUGAAACUGCGAAUGGCUCAUUAAAUCAGUUAUCGUUUAUUUGAUAGUACCUUACUACAUGGAUACCUGUGGUAAUUCUAGAGCUAAUACAUGCUAAAAACCCCGACUUCAGGAAGGGGUGUAUUUAUUAGAUAAAAAACCAACGCCCUUCGGGGCUCCUUGGUGAAUCAUAAUAACUUAACGAAUCGCAUGGCCUUGCGCCGGCGAUGGUUCAUUCAAAUUUCUGCCCUAUCAACUUUCGAUGGUAGGAUAGUGGCCUACCAUGGUGGCAACGGGUAACGGGGAAUUAGGGUUCGAUUCCGGAGAGGGAGCCUGAGAAACGGCUACCACAUCCAAGGAAGGCAGCAGGCGCGCAAAUUACCCAAUCCCGAUACGGGGAGGUAGUGACAAUAAAUACUGAUACGGGGCUCUUUUGGGUCUCGUAAUUGGAAUGAGAACAAUUUAAAUCCCUUAACGAGGA